rnacentral:rRNA from 1 species
GACGAACCGUACGAACGUUAUUCGGAAUCACUGGGCUUAAAGGGUGCGUAGGCGGCUUGAUAAGUUGGGUGUGAAAUACCUCGGCUCAACCGAGGAAUUGCGCCCAAAACUGUUGAGCUGGAGGGAGACAGAGGUGAGCGGAACUUAGGGUGGAGCGGUGAAAUGCGUUGAUAUCCUAAGGAACACCAGGGGCGAAAGCGGCUCACUGGGUCUUUUCUGACGCUGAGGCACGAAAGCUAGGGUAGCGAACGGG